CAAAGGCUUCAUUUUUGGGUCAUGUGUCCAACAUUUGACCGUCCAUCUUAUUUGAAAAAUUUAUAAAAAAACAAAUUUAAAAGUAGUCACGCAUAAAAUAUUCAUAAUUUAUCAUCUAAUAAAAAUAAAAAUAUAAAUUAUAGAAACUUUUUGAAUAAGAUGAAGAGUCAAACGUUGCAUCCAAAAACUGAAAAAUGGAGUCUUU
rfam:Oryza sativa Japonica Group DNA, chromosome 2, cultivar: Nipponbare, complete sequence.